UAACUUUUUUCAUGAAAAUGAUUUCAUUUAACUACAAUAUUAGGUUAGAAAGUUAAUAUUUCGUCCUAAAAAAUUGAGAUGCUUACAAAUAGUCGUGAUAUUUCAUAUAAAUGAAGUUGUUAAUAUGUCAUAUUUCAAAACUUGUUCAUGCUUAUACAAAAGCAAGUGAAUUUGAUGUUCAUGAUGGUAAUGCUUUUUUCAUCAAAUGGUAUUAGUUAUAAGUAGUUAUUGAUAAAUUUUUGGAAUCUUGAUAUAAUAGUAUGUGAAAGUAUUCAAUUUAUCAUCGUUUAUUUCAAAAUUCUUAAGUAUGUUGUUGAUCUUGUGCACUUUGUUUCAAGCUAACAAGAUCAUUACUUUUAUUUAGCAUUAUAUUACGUUUUGUAAAUCAAUCGAUAAUUUCAAAUAUUUUGAUGAAAAUAAUAUUAUUCACCUAUCAAAAUUACAUUCUAAUUUACUUGCUUUUUUGUAUAAGCCUAAAUGAUGUUUUGAAAAUGUGACAUAUUGAUUAUCUUCUAUUAACGGGUGUUGGCGUCCUUUUAUCUAUAUCCAGAGGCGGAUCCAGGAUUUGGAGAUUGUGGGUGCCACAUCGCCCAAGCAAGAUAAACGGGUUGGUUCCUUUAACUUUGGGUUACAAUUCAUAUUAUUUGUCAUAUUCGAUUUUCAUAAAAUAAAUUGAUUAAAUGUGCAUGUUA